rnacentral:misc_RNA from 1 species
GCCAAACAUAGAGAGCUGGAAUUUAUAAAAGUAUGAUCAAUUAAUGUUUGUAGCUCAAGGAAAGUACAUAAUUUGUAAUACAACACCAUCAAUAUCAACCUGCUUUCCCCACUUUAACAUCCAAUCAUCCAAAUUCAUGAAGAAAACAAUAGCAACCAGUACUGUUCUCUCCACUAAAAUUACCAAAGCAGAAUAAAAAAAAAAAAC